UUGGAACUCUACUGGAAGUAUGGAAUGGAACAUCCUAAAAAUAGAAGAGCAACAGAUGGUGCCUCCAAAUCCCUUCUGAAGGCGAUUGUGCAAACCAGCAUCUCAACAAGAAAUGUUCACAGCCC